rnacentral:rRNA from 1 species
GUGAACCAGCGGAGGGAU